GAUUAACGCUGGCGGCGGGCCUAACACAUGCAAGUCAUGGGCGUAGAUUAGGUAGCAAUACCGGAUUUACGACCGGCGCACGGGUGAGUAACGCGUAUGUAACCAACCGUUCGGAGCGGGACAACCCGGAGAAAUUCGGGCUAAUACCGCGUAACGCACAGAGGAGGCAUCUUUUCUGUGCCAAAGGAGCGAUCUGCCGGACGACGGACAUGCGUAUCAUUAGCUAGUUGGGGAGGUAACGGCUCACCAAGGCAACGAUGAUUAGGGGUUCCGAGAGGAUUAACCCCCACACCGGGACUGAGACACGGCCCGGACUCCUGCGGGAGGCAGCAGUGAGGAAUAUUGGUCAAUGGUCGGAAGACUGAACCAGCCACGCCGCGUGCGGGAAUAAGGCCCUACGGGUCGUAAACCGCUUUUAGGGGAGAGCAACAGUUUCCAUGCGUGGAAUUACGAGAGUAUCCCCGGAAUAAGCAUCGGCUAACUCCGUGCCAGCAGCCGCGGUAAUACGGAGGAUGCGAGCGUUAUCCGGAUUCAUUGGGUUUAAAGGGCGCGCAGGCUGUAUGACAAGUCGGCGGUGAAAGAUUCGGGCUUAACCCGGAAUGUGCCGUCGAAACUGUCGUGCUGGAAUACGGACGAAGCUGGAGGAAUGUGCGGUGUAGCGGUGAAAUGCAUAGAUAUCGCACAGAAGGUCGAUCGCGAAGGCAUCCGGCCAGUCCGUUAUUGACGCUGAGGCGCGAAAGCGCGGGGAUCGAACAGGAUUAGAUACCCUGGUAGUCCGCGCUGUAAACGAUGAUGACUCGCCGUCGGGGUAUUAUACUUCGGUGGCUAAGCGAAAGCGAUAAGUCAUCCACCUGGGGAGUACGGCCGCAAGGCUGAAACUCAAAGGAAUUGACGGGGGCCCGCACAAGCGGAGGAACAUGUGGUUUAAUUCGAUGAUACGCGAGGAACCUUACCCGGGCUCGAACGGCUUGCGAAAGGCGGGGAAACCUGUCUGUCCUUAGGGACGCAAGUCGAGGUGCUGCAUGGUUGUCGUCAGCUCGUGCCGCGAGGUGUCGGCUCAAGUGCCAUAACGAGCACAACCCCUGUCGUCGAUUGCCAACGGGUCAAGCCGGGGACUACGACGAGACUGCCGGCGCAAGCUGCGAGGAAGGGGGGGAUGACGUCAAAUCAGCACGGCCCUUACGUCCGGGGCGACACACGUGUUACAAUGGGCGAUACAGAGGGUAGCGAGGCAGCGAUGCUGAGCCAAUCCCGAAAGUCGCUCCCAGUUCGGAUCGGAGUCUGCAACUCGACUCCGUGAAGCUGGAUUCGCUAGUAAUCGCGCAUCAGCCAUGGCGCGGUGAAUACGUUCCCGGGCC
rnacentral:rRNA from 1 species